rnacentral:rRNA from 1 species
AAUCGCAGAUCAACAUGCUGCGGUGAAUACGUUCCCGGGCCUUGUACACACCGCCCGUCACACCAUGAGAGUCGAUAACACCCGAAGCCUGUAGUCUAACCAUAAGGAGGACGCAGUCGAAGGUGGGAUUGAUAAUUAGGGUGAAGUCGUAACAAGGUAUC